rnacentral:rRNA from 1 species
GUGGGGAAUCUUCCGCAAUGGACGAAAGUCUGACGGAGCAACGCCGCGUGAGUGAAGAAGGUUUUCGGAUCGUAAAGCUCUUUCGUUAGGGACGAACGUGCUCUUUGUGAAUAAUGAGGAGUAAUGACGGUACCUAAGUAAGAAGCCACGGCUAACUACGUGCCAGCAGCCGCGGUAAUACGUAGGUGGCAAGCGUUGUCCGGAAUUAUUGGGCGUAAAGCGCGCGCAGGCGGGAUAUCAAGUCUGUCUUAAAAGUGCGAGGCUCAACCUCGUGAGGGGACAGAAACUGGUAUUCUUUGGUGUCGGAGAGGAAAGUGGAAUUCCAAGUGUAGCGGUGAAAUGCGUAGAGAUUUGGAAGAACACCAGUGGCGAAGGCGACUUUCUGGACGAUGUCUGACGCUGAGGCGCGAAAGCUAGGGGAGCGAACGGGAUUAGAUACCCCUGUAGUCC